AACAUGGAGAGUUUGAUCCUGGCUCAGAACUAACGCUGGCGGCGCGUCUUAAACAUGCAAGUCAAACGGAUGUAGCAAUACAUUAGUGGCGAACGGGUGAGUAACACGUAGGUAAUCUACCCUCGAGUUGGGAAUAACCUGGAGAAAUCCAGGCUAAUACCGAAUAGUAUCAUUGUUGCGAGAGCAGUAUUGAUUAAAGGAGCGAUUCGCUCGGGGAUGAGCCUGCGUCUGAUUAGCUAGUUGGCGGGGUAAGA
rnacentral:rRNA from 1 species